GAAGCACCGGCUAACUACGUGCCAGCAGCCGCGGUAAUACGUAGGGUGCAAGCGUUAUCCGGAUUUAUUGGGCGUAAAGGGCUCGUAGGCGGUUCGUCGCGUCCGGUGUGAAAGUCCAUCGCUUAACGGUGGAUCCGCGCCGGGUACGGGCGGGCUUGAGUGCGGUAGGGGAGACUGGAAUUCCCGGUGUAACGGUGGAAUGUGUAGAUAUCGGGAAGAACACC
rnacentral:rRNA from 1 species